UUAAUUAAAAAAAAAAGAAGAAAGAAAAGAAAAAAGAAAAGAAAAUUUGAAAUAAAGAAAGAAAUUAAAGAAGUGGCUCAUUUCUGAAACUUCGGCCAGUUUUUGCACCCAAAUUCGGCCCAAUCGUUCCCCCCACAUAAUCCAAUUAAUCCCCAGCCCAAACCUUAACCGCCCCAGUCCGAAUAAAACCGAACUAACCCAUUAUUUUGACCCGUCCGGUUCCCUUAAUAUAAAAUCCCCCUUAUAACUUUUCCCCAUCAAACCCUAAACCUAGAGAAAAUCAGAAACGACGCUAGGGUGUACUGUUCCUUCAUCGUCUUCCUCUUCAACUCACCUCAACUCGCCCGAGCUCACUCAUUGGUCCCCUCCCCUCCACGUCACCUCUAUUUCCAACCGGAUUUGUCAGAAAAUACGAAUAUUCUCUCCCAAAUCAUACGAUUUCGGGUACGAAAGGAUAAUUUGUUGGAUGAAUGGGAGCCGUGGAUAGAUGUGAAAUCAAUCCACGCCCUCCAUUUGUCCCAAAAAUUGUUCAAAGACCUGAAGAUUUUUUGGAUUUUUGGGCAGAUUUUUGAAGAUUUUGAGGGCUAUAUAUAUACAAGGUAAGUCUGUGUGCUAGGUUAAAGAAAAAAGAUCGGAGAAAAAUCUUCAAAAUUUAGUCGAGUAAAAAUUUCUAGGUUUUGGUCAUUCUCUUUUGACCUUUUCCUUUCCAGUCGAUUUUUUAGAAAACAUAAAAAAAUGACUCAACUUCAGUUGUGAAAGCCGGAUUCGAUCUCAUUUUUUCUUUGCUGGGGUUUUUGACUGCUGACAUUUGCUGGUUUAACUGAGGUCUUGAGGCUAUCUGCUGCUAUUCUUCUGUCGUUUGGGUUUGCUGAGUUCAUCCAUUGUUGGUUGUUCUUAGCCUUUAUUUGGGCAAAGGUUCAAUUUUGGUUGCGAAUUUAGCCCCAUUCGAUUUUACAAGAGUAGCCUGUCCCAUCUUAUAGCUAAUUCAAUUGCAUUUGUGCUUUCAAGUGUUCAAUUGAUCUCAUUACUUCUAAAAGUUUAUGGAUGCCUAUGUGACUGUACUGAAGCAACAGACCUUUUUAUUUCUUGCUGCCUGCCUCAGCUGAGUGAUGUUGAAAAUUCUUGUUUCCAUUUUGAGCAUGUAUAUUUGAGUUUGAAUUAUUUUAUCAUUA